AGGAGCACCGCACAGUGGAGGUGGAGAAGGUCCAUCUGGAAAAGAAGCUGCGCGAUGAGAUCAACCUUGCUAAGCAGGAAGCCCAGCGGCUGAAGGAGCUGCGGGAGGGUACUGAGAAUGAGCGGAGCCGCCAAAAAUAUGCUGAGGAGGAGUUGGAGCAGGUAUUUACAUAAAGUGUACAAGUCAUAAGUAUACAGCUGGCAAGCUUUUGCAUAUGCAUGUACCUGUG
rnacentral:lncRNA from 1 species